UACGAAGGGAGCUAGCGUUGCUCGGAAUGACUGGGCGUAAAGGGCGCGUAGGCGGCUUGCACCGUCAGAUGUGAAAUUCCUGGGCUUAACCUGGGGGCUGCAUUUGAUACGUGUGGGCUUGAGUGCGGAAGAGGGUCGUGGAAUUCCCAGUGUAGAGGUGAAAUUCGUAGAUAUUGGGAAGAACACCGGUGGCGAAGGCGGCGACCUGGUCCGUGACUGACGCUGAGGCGCGAAAGCGUGGGGAGCAAACAGG
rnacentral:rRNA from 1 species